CCUACGGGAGGCAGCAGUGGGGAAUAUUGCGCAAUGGGCGCAAGCCUGACGCAGCGACGCCGCGUGAGGGAUGAAGGUCUUCGGAUCGUAAAACUCUGUCAGCAGGGAAGAAAGGUCACUGUGCUAAUCAGCAGUGAAUUGACGGUACCUGCAAAGGAAGCACCGGCUAACUCCGUGCCAGCAGCCGCGGUAAUACGGAGGGUGCGAGAGUUAAUCGGAAUUACUGGGCGUAAUGCGCUCGUAGGCGGUAUGUCAAGUCAAGGGUGAAAUACCCGCGCUCAACGUGGGAACUGUCUGUGAAACUGGCAAACUGGAGUGUGUGAGAGGAUAGUGGAAUUCCAGGUGUAGGAGUGAAAUCCGUAGAUAUCUGGAAGAACAUCAGUGGCGAAGGCGACUAUCUGGCACAUAACUGACGCUGAGGAGCGAAAGCGUGGGUAGCAAACAGGAUUAGAUACCCCGGUAGUC
rnacentral:rRNA from 1 species